AUGGAAGUCAUUGGGAGAGCUAUGGAACUGGUGUUGAAAUGGAGAAAAGGAUUGAAAGUUCGAGCUUGGAGGAUUGAAAAAGGAAUUUUUCUGCAUAAAUUUAUUUAUGCAGAAAAAUAUGCAUACGGGAUUUGGGGAUUUCACCAGCAUAAGAGAUUGGGAAGCCGAAUCGGAGUGCCAUACCGGGUAUUAUGCAAGAUCGAGGUUUCGCUAGAAAGCUUGGAUCAGAAGCUUUGUGACCAGAUUGCAUAA